rnacentral:rRNA from 1 species
UCCUGGCUCAGGACGAACGCUGGCGGCGUGCUUAACACAUGCAAGUCUAAGGAGAACGUUUUCUUCGGAAAACAAGUAAACUGGCGAACGGGUGAGUAACGCGUAGGCAACCUACCCUUUAGACUGGGAUAACAUCGUGAAAAUGGUGCUAAUACCAGAUAAUAUCAUAAAUCAUCAGGUUUAUGAUUAAAGGUGGCUUCGGCUACUACUAUUGGAUGGGCCUGCGUCUGAUUAGCUUGUUGGUAAGGUAAUGGCUUACCAAGGCAACGAUCAGUAGCUGGUUCGAGAGGAUGAUCAGCCACACUGGGACUGAGAUACGGCCCAGACUCCUACGGGAGGCAGCAGUGGGGAAUUUUGCGCAAUGGGGGAAACCUUGACGCAGCAACGCCGCGUGAUCGAAGAAGCUCUGUGGAGUGUAAAGAUCUGUCAUAGGGGAAGAAUGAUUUUUAAUAGAACAUAUUAAAGAUUUGACGGUACCCUAUAAGAAAGCCCCGGCUAACUUCGUGCCAGCAGCCGCGGUAAUACGAGGGGGGCAAGCGUUGUCCGGAUUCAUUGGGCGUAAAGAGUUCGUAGGCGGUCUAAACAGUCAAAAUUGAAAUACCACGGCUUAACCGUGGGCCCGGUUUUGAUACUUUUAGACUUGAGUUAGGUAGGGGUAAGCGGAAUUCCUGGUGUAGCGGUGAAAUGCGUAGAUAUCAGGAGGAACACCAAAGGCGAAGGCAGCUUGCUGGGCCUUAACUGACGCUGAGGAACGAAAGCAUGGGUAGCGAACAGGAUUAGAGACCCUGGUAGUCCAUGCCGUAAACGAUGAGCACUUGAUGGUGGGGGAUUGAAUCCCUUCACUGUCGGAGUUAACGCGUUAAGUGCUCCGCCUGGGGACUACGACCGCAAGGUUGAAACUCAAAGGAAUUGACGGGGACCCGCACAAGCGGUGGAUCAUGUGGUUUAAUUCGAUGCAACGCGAAGAACCUUACCUGGACUUGACAUAUUAAUGACACUUCUGUGAAAGCAGAGGUUUCUGCGAGCUUGCUCAAAGACAUUAUUACAGGUGAUGCAUGGCUGUCGUCAGCUCGUGUCGUGAGAUGUUCG